UACGUAGGCAGCGAGCGUUGUUCGGAGUUACUGGGCGUAAAGAGUGCGUAGGCGGUUUUCUAAGUUUGGUGUGAAAUCUCCCGGCUUAACUGGGAGGGUGCGCCGAAAACUGGAAGGCUUGAGUAUGGGAGAGGUAAGCGGAAUUCCUGGUGUAGCGGUGAAAUGCGCAGAUAUCAGGAGGAACACCGGUGGCGAAGGCGGUUCUCUGGGCAUUACCUGACGCUGAGGAGCGAAAGUGUGGGGAGCGAACAGG
rnacentral:rRNA from 1 species